UUCUUAAAGAAACAUAUUUUCGUUUCAAGAAGAGGAAUUUGGAGCACUGAGCAACAGUUCAGGUCUCUCUGUUCUUGUAAAUGUUUCUGUCCAGAAAUACAAAAGUAAAUUUCUAUGUUUAAAGAUGUACCUGGAAACUGUAACAAAACUAAAAAAUGAAAAAGACAAACAAACAAAUCUUUACUCAACAGGUCGUCCUCACUAAACCACAGCAGUAUUAAAAUACAUUUAAAAUUAGGGAUGAGUAUCGUUUAGAUUUUAUUGAUACUACUCCUCUUAUCGAUACUGAUUUAACUUUACACAACAAAUCAGAUAUAUCUUUAGACUUGUAUCUGUGUAAAGUUGAUUUUGUUUCCUCUCCUUCACUCUUUUUUGUUCUUAGACCUUUUCUGUUUUUUCAUUUUGUAAUGAUUGAAGUUCAAAUAAAGUAAAAGAUAAAAAUCAAUAUGUUAUGCUGCACAAAAUGACUUUUUGAGUUUAUCAUAAUUCAAGACGACUAAAGACUUUGGGUUAAAUGUGAGUUUUUAUUGGAUUGGAUGUGACUGCUACCUUAUGGAAAUGUUAAUUUUUUAAAUCAAACUUAAAUUUUAAAUGAAUCGAUUAAUAUGAAUAUAUUUUUAUAGAAUUUUUUUAACACGAUAGAAGCAGCAAAAGUUUUCCUUUUGUCAGUUUUGAGUUUGGUUUCAGUGACUGAUGAGUUUUUUUUUACAAACUUUAUUGUACAACACAAACAUUUACAAAUCACAUCCUGGUAUUAGGUCUAUGGUCUCUGGUCUUUGCGUGUUCACGUCUACUUGUAGGCAGUGUUCAAGUGAAGUAGAAAAACAGGAGAUUAUAUUUCCUGUUUAACCUGUUUUCAUGUACAGUCAAGGAUUAACACACCUUCGUAUUUUCUAACCAGCUCUUUAGGCUGUUCGACUUCCUUCAGAGAAGACGAGAAACUGAAUCAAAAUGGAAAAAAAAUACAGGGUUGAAGUUAACAGCUAUGAGGGUGUAAGGAUGAUAAUCUAUCUGUGUGAUACCGAGGAAGAGAUGCAGAAAAUCACAGUUCUACAGCUGAAGGAGAAGAUAGAUCAACAACUUCCUCAAUUUGAUGGAGUGAAGUGUGAAAAUCUGCGUCUGAUCUUCGCCGAUAAGUUUUUGGAUGAAGACUCCAGGCUGCUAUCUGUAUAUGGAAUCCAGAACAUGUCUGUUAUCCACACGGUGAUGAGACUUGAUGGAGGAGGAAGUCCAGAAGCAUAUGAAGAAUAUUUAAAAAAACAUGGUAAAGGUGAUAAAAACAUUGACAAAAAACA